CUAUGAUGAAACAUAAACUGAUUAAAGCUGGAAUUACCGGCAGAUUGAUCAGUGGUGAUUUACAGUUUUCUGACU